UAAGUGACUAAGCGUACACGGUGGAUGCCUUGGCAGUCAGAGGCGAUGAAAGACGUAGUAACUUGCGAUAAGCCCAGAUUAGGUAGUAACAACCAUUUGAGUCUGGGAUUUCUGAAUGGGGAAACCCACGUGCAUAAGCACGUAUCCUUACCUGAAUACAUAGGGUAAGGAGGCGAACCGGGGGAACUGAAACAUCUAAGUACCCCGAGGAAAAGAAAUCAACCGAGAUUCCGAAAGUAGCGGCGAGCGAAAUUGGACUAGCCCUUAAGCUUUACACGCGUUAGACGAACGGUCUGGAAAGUCCGACGAUACAGGGUGAUAGUCCCGUAGUUGACGACGUGUGUUCAGUGAAAUCGAGUAGGGCGGGACACGUGAUAUCCUGUCUGAAUAUGGGGGGACCAUCCUCCAAGGCUAAAUACUACUGACUGACCGAUAGUGAACCAGUACCGUGAGGGAAAGGCGAAAAGAACCCCUGUGAGGGGAGUGAAAUAGAACCUGAAACCGUGUACGUACAAGCAGUAGGAGCAGGCUUUGUCCUGUGACUGCGUACCUUUUGUAUAAUGGGUCAGCGACUUAUAUUCAGUGGCAAGGUUAACCAUCUAGGGGAGCCGUAGGGAAACCGAGUCUUAACUGGGCGUUCAGUCUCUGGAUAUAGACCCGAAACCAGGUGAUCUAGCCAUGGGCAGGUUGAAGGUUGAGUAACAUCAACUGGAGGACCGAACCGACUAAUGUUGAAAAAUUAGCGGAUGACUUGUGGCUAGGGGUGAAAGGCCAAUCAAACCUGGAGAUAGCUGGUUCUCCCCGAAAGCUAUUUAGGUAGCGCCUCGGACGAAUACUACUGGGGGUAGAGCACUGUUAAGGCUAGGGGGUCAUCCCGACUUACCAACCCUUUGCAAACUCCGAAUACCAGUAAGUACUAUCCGGGAGACACACGGCGGGUGCUAACGUCCGUCGUGGAGAGGGAAACAACCCAGACCGCCAGCUAAGGUCCCAAAUUACUACUAAGUGGGAAACGAUGUGGGAAGGCUCAGACAGCCAGGAUGUUGGCUUAGAAGCAGCCAUCAUUUAAAGAAAGCGUAAUAGCUCACUGGUCGAGUCGGCCUGCGCGGAAGAUGUAACGGGGCUAAGUAGUAAACCGAAGCUGCGGCAAUGUGCUUUUGCACAUUGGGUAGGGGAGCGUUCUGUAAGCGGUUGAAGGUGUGUGGUAACGCAUGCUGGACGUAUCAGAAGUGCGAAUGCUGACAUGAGUAACGAUAAAGGGGGUGAAAAACCUCCUCGCCGGAAGACCAAGGGUUCCUGUCCAACGUUAAUCGGGGCAGGGUAAGUCGACCCCUAAGGCGAGGCCGAAAGGCGUAGUCGAUGGGAAACGGGUUAAUAUUCCCGUACUUCUUACAAUUGCGAUGGGGGGACGGAGAAGGCUAGGUGGGCCUGGCGACGGUUGUCCAGGUUCAAGUGCGUAGGCUUAAGAGUUAGGUAAAUCCGGCUCUUUUUAAGGCUGAGACACGACGUCGAGCAUCUACGGAUGUGAAGUCAUUGAUGGCCAUGCUUCCAGGAAAAGCCUCUAAGCUUCAGAUUGUAAGGAAUCGUACCCCAAACCGACACACAGGUGGUCGGGUAGAGAAUACGCAAGGCGCUUGAGAGAACUCGGGUGAAGGAACUAGGCAAAAUGGUACCGUAACUUCGGGAGAAGGUACGCUCUCGACGGUGAAGUCCCUCGCGGAUGGAGCUAUUGAGAGUCGCAGAUACCAGGUGGCUGCAACUGUUUAUUAAAAACACAGCACUGUGCAAAAUCGUAAGAUGACGUAUACGGUGUGACGCCUGCCCGGUGCCGGAAGGUUAAUUGAUGGGUUAGACCUUCGGUCGAAGCUCUUGAUCGAAGCCCGGUAAACGGCGGCCGUAACUAUAACGGUCCUAAGGUAGCGAAAUUCCUUGUCGGUAAGUUCCCGACCUGCACGAAAUGGCGUAAUGAUGGCCACGCUGUCUCCACCCCGAGACUCAGUGAAAUUGAAAUCGCUGUGAAGAAUGCAGUGUACCCGCGGCUAGACGGAAAGAACCCCGUGAACCUUUACUACAGCUUGGCACUGAACAUUGACCCUACAUGCUGUAGGAUAGGUGGGAGGCUUUGAAGGGCACGUACGCCAGUAUGUUGUGGAGCCGUCCUUGAAAUACCACCCUUGUAGUGUUGAUGUUCUAACGUCGACCCCUUAUCGGGGUUGCGGACCAGUGCCCUGGUGGGUAGUUGACUGGGGGCGGUCUCCUCCCCAAAGAGUAACGGAGGAGCACGAAGGUGGGCCUAAUCACGGUGGACAUCGUGAGGUUAGUGCAAUGGGCAUAAGCCCGCUUGACUGCAGAAUGACAAUUCGAGCAGGUGGCGAAAGCAGGUCAUCAGUGAUCCGGGUUCUGAAUGGAAGGGCCAUCCGCUCAACGGAUAAAAGGUACUCCGGGGAUAACAGGCUGAUACCGCCCAAGAGUUCAUAUCGACGGCGGUGUUUGGCACCUCGAUGUCGCUCUCAUCACAUCCUGGGGCCUGAAGUCGGUCCCAAGGUAUGGCUGUUCGCCAAUUUAAAGUGG
rnacentral:rRNA from 1 species